GGCUAGCGCGCAUAUGCCAAUAUACCACACUGGGCUCACUCACUAUUUCAAAUUCUAUGGAAACUCAUUUAACUUCUACUGUUUUAUUUGGUACAUGUGAAUUUAACCUCAAACUGUAUAUUUAUGUGCACUACUUCAUCAAGAAAAUACUUUUAUCCGCAACAAGUCAAUUUGAUGGAAACGCUUCUCUGGUGGGAAAAUAAUGCACAUUGUUUUUAUGUGGCUUGGGCGCAACCACCGCUGCUGUUCCCACUGGAGCUGCCCUUUGAACCCUGGGCAGCCGAGCGCACAUGGGCAUGCUUACCUGGCCGGCUGACCAAGCCUGCAGCGGCCACUGCACUCUGCAGCUGAGAGGAGGAGAAAGAGUGGGACACGCCCCUCACCCCAACAGACGGGACACUGCCACGGGAGAGCUGGCCCUGAGGUGGAAGGGAGGGGGGGAGAAGGAAAAAGAAGAUUGAGUGACAAGAACAUACAACACAAGCCAAGGGAACCAUUGGGCUGUUGCAGAUGGGGAGGUUCAAGUCCCUAGUGAGACACCAUGGUAGAAUGUAGGGAUGUACUGCAAGAGGAAAUGGUACAAUGCUGAUCUAAUGGGAAAGAUGGGGUGAUCUGUGGAAUGAAUGAGUGAUGGGAUAAAUACAUACACACAUGCACAGUGGAAAGGUUUGAGGUCCUCUAAUCAGGGGUGAGGGUGGGGGUGAGUUGAGUUAUGUGUGUUUUGUGUUUUCGUUUCACGCUGUGAGCGAAGGGUGUGCUGAUCCUGGUGGUUAUGUGUGCACUUGCUUUCAUGCCUGCCCGGGCGUUGGCGGGUCUUGGUCCUUCCCGCCCUUGGAAAAGCAUCUCAGGCCGGGUGGGGGCGAGCGGAACCACUGAUCAGAACACCCACUGAUGGGAGCAGCCAUUUGUAUUGAUGUUGUAUUGUAGUUGUUCAAAAUAUUAAAAAGGCAACCAUAUGUAAGUGAAUAUUAUAA